CUGACAUCACACAGCGCGUCAGGUCGCGGCGUGCGUACGUCAGUGCAGCGCGGGACCAUGUAUGUGCUGUGGAGUGUACGGAGGCCCCUUGCUGGAAAGGUGAGUAUUGCAGGCCAGCGGGAGACCACGGAGCGGGAGUAAUAGCAAGCGCUUCACUCCCGCUCCGUGGUCACUUGACACA